AUCAGGGGAAAAUUGAAAGCUCGCGCAAAGGAAAAGGAUCAGACGCGCAAUUUUCCCCAUUGCCCCAAUCAGGCGCAUACCCGGCCUACCAAAACGGGCUGACACGCGAGUCAUUGUGCUAGGAAACGGCACCGUAAUGAAGAAAACCCAUUGGCCUUCAUUUACCCUUUUAUUUUCCAGAACCAAGACACUUUCAUUCAUUUUUCAAAUUAGAACACAUUUUUUGCUAAGGUUUUUCCACAGGCGGCUGAAUCACCAUCAGAUCUGGUGUCCAGCAGCACGCGAAACCACUCCCGACUCCUGCUGUAAAUACUCGACCACCUAUUGAAGAGCUUGGGAUAGAGCAACGGCUAUACGGAAAAAAUUUGCUCGUGAAAGUCGUGAUUGCAGCACUGGUGUGUUCCAGAAACCUCUAGUGCUUUCAGCUGCUGAGAUUCCCCUUUUGGGGUUCUUUCAAGUUUGGGCCUUUUUGCAAAUUGGGCUCAUUGGUCUUUGGGCCUUUGUAUAUGUUUGGGCUAUUUGUUAGUGUUUAUUUAAGGUUGUAAAUGGACUAUUGGAACUUUAUUUAAGUUUAUUUGACUAGCUAUUGAAUAUAUAAA